rnacentral:rRNA from 1 species
CCUUUUAAGGGGUUGAUGAGCAGCCGGGCGAACGGCGCUAGGCAGGUGGGGUGUGUGUCGAUCGGCUAGCGCGGUUGGUGGUCCAUGCUCUGCUCUGAUCUGCUCUAGCGGGCUGGAGCUGCUCCUGCUCUUUGGUGGUCGUCGUGUGGGGUAAGUAAGUAAGUAAGUUGAGGGGGUGGGUGGGUUGUCGCUGGGCGUCGUCGGUUGGUUGGUUAGCCGGGUCUCUAGCUCGCUCGAGUGGACGGCGCAGCGGCGGCGGGGCCUUCUAGAGGGCGUCGGAGGGGUGGCAGCCCAAGGGCGGGCCCAGGGGGCGGGGGCGGGGGCGGCUGCUGGGGUAGCGGCGGCGGGCGCGGGGCGCGCUCUGCUGCCGCGCCGGUCGGCCGUCGUGCACCGCGUAGGCGGCGCGACAGCUCGGCCCUCUCGCGCGCGCUCUUUCGAAGCGCGAAACGCCGCUGUUUUUCGCCUUUUCCUAUUUUUUGUUACCGUCCUCCUCCUCAUGUUUUAUGCUUCCCCUAUUCUCCUAUUUUGGCCGCUCCCUCCCUCCCCUCUUUUUUGUUUCCCGUUUCGCCCCUUCUUUUCCUUUCGGCCUCGGCCCGCCUCGACAGCUCAUAUAGUGAAGGGGACACGCGUGCGGAGGCGGGGCAGGGGAGGGAGUGGGCGUGGGUUUAGGCAGGAGGAGGGCGCCGCCCCCCUCUCCUCCUUCCCCUUUCGGCCGCCGAAACGCGUACCGCCUCCGCCGCCGCCCCCGCCGCAGCCGCGACGACCUGGACGGCCUCGGCGACGACCUGGACGGCCUCGGCGACGACGACGAGUAGGAGCCGCGGGAGGUGCUGGGCGCGAGCGCCGUGGCCCGGAGGUACCGGACGGCGGCCGACGACCGCCGCCUCGCCCGCUGCGCCCGCCGGUACCGCGACGCGCCCCUGGGCGCCUGCCGGCUGAAGGAGGAGGAGGGCGGCCGGAAGACGAAGGGCCGCGACCUCGCCGAGCUGGAGAGGGAGCGGAGCGGCACCCCGGUGGGCGACGAGAGCAGGCGGAGCGCGCAGCGCCCGCGCGGCCGGAGGAGGAGGAGGUUGGUGGAGCGCGAGGCGGGCCUCCUCUAGCGCCUCGCCUUGCGGAUGCACCGCCGCGCGGAGCGGCGGAUGAAGGGGCGGCACCGGGCGGAGCGGCAGAUGACGGCGCUGGGGAGGUGCGAGCGGUCGGACCGGGGGACGACCGCCCGGUGCGAGGCGCGGCAGUUCGAGCACGCGACCGUGGUCGCCGGCGAGCUGGAGGGGCCGCCGCGCCUAGAGCUCGGCGACGAGCCUCGGACGGGGGUCGAGCGCCGGGAGCUGGAGAGGCUCAAGAUGACGACCUGCCUCCUGCAGCACGGCCGCGAGCUGCGCGUGGGCCGGCGGCGGCGGUCCGAGUGGCUGGAGCUGGAGCCGGAGCGGCCGCGGAGGUUGCCGAAGGUGCGGCGGCUCGAGCCCCGGUAGCGGCGGCGGACGGGGCCGGAGGCCGCCGAGCAGCGCGGGACGCAGAAGUUGGGGGCGAUGCAGCUGGUGCAGCCGCUGCUGCGCGACGCGAGCGAGCGGCGGUCGACGGGGGCCGAGUGGCAGGACGCGGAGUCGCUCGGGAAGCUCGGCCGCAGGUGGUCGGUCGCCCUCGUCCGCCCGUAAUGGCGGCACCCCGAGCAACUGAAGAAACGGCGCGAGGGACCCGACCUCCUGGAGUACGACCUGGAGGUCGUGUUACACGAGCUCCGUCGAGGCCGCUACCUCCACGAGCGUGCGUCCACGGGUGCCUAGUUCCAGGACUGCGACCCCACGAAGGUCCCCGACACGUUCCGGCGGACCGACGUAGAGCUGCCGCAACGGCACACGCCGCCCGACCUCAGCGAGACGUAGUUCUUGACGCUCCUAGAGUGGCUGCGGUCGGAGCCGCGCUAGCCGGCACCGACACCCUCCGAACGGUUCAAACGGUAUGUUCCUACGUUGGAACAGUGCAGUCUACCCUAGUCCUCCGAUCGGUACCGCGAAGCCGGAUGUAACUUCCUCCAGUCACACGACGUGACGGCCAAAGACGUGUGACGUCGUACGGAACGACGAGACUUGGGUUAGGCGCUAGCCUAACUCUCGGAACUCUAGUUGACACUGACCCUCCUCCAACUUGUCGGGUCGAGGUCGACGGACCGGUUGCCGUGUUGGCCUUCACUAGUACUCCUACUGCUCGGAUCACUUUACCGCAUGGUCAGGCGCGGGUUCUUUACGUCCAAGAGGAUGAACCUUUACCUAUUAAUACUUUCGACCCUCUACGAGGCGAGUGAGAGGGAAACCACGGGACGACCAGUCGACGAGAGGGGCGAGUAAAGACGGCCCGAGCUAUCGACGGGACAAGAACUCUUCUAGAGUUAAUUCCACCUCCCGCUAGAGGCCUGAACAGGCGCAGGUAAAGUGCCCAGUCGAAAACCGAAUUCGCUGGAACCUCGGAAGGUCCGCGACCGGUUCUACUUCAACCUGGAGUCGCUCCGCCACCCAAUACGCGAGUGGCGCGGUUGCCCCGUAUACCUAGAAAGAGUCACCCUCGCCAAAAUAGACUCGCCAUAGCUCAGUAACGACUCAAACAUACUCGACCUGAUGACCGGCGGGGUUCUGUUCCUGCACUUGGUGGCCUCGGACAGUGACGGUCGCCAGCGUGAAAAGGUCGUGAGGUAGCCUGAGUCCUUCGAGAAGUAGGUACCGUGGUGUGUACUCGUGAAGUACUCGAAGAAGGUCUUUUACGGUUUGAACUCCCUGCACGUCGAUUCCCUCCUGAUGAUAGGUCGUGGCCUCUUACUGUACUACUAGUGUCUCUACGCCCGACUUAGAACGGAGGCCAAACUCGUCGUCGACUUGUUGGCCGUUAAAGCCGUUUAAGGACUAAUUGCGACUUAACCCACGUGGUAAUGUCACUAAGCUACAACUUAUGUAGUUGUGUCUCUCGGGAACGAGAACAAAUCAGUGGGUCUCACGAUGACUUCAUAGAGACCCAACGAACGCUACUAACGACAUCAUUGACCUUAACGAGUCAGGUAACUACUAUUCUCAUCUUCUGUUACGGACUAGUUCACUGGCACCAUAGCUUAGAAAUAAACGUAAGGAAAAGAAAAAGACCACAUUAUUCUCUCUCUGAGUCUCAAGUGUAUAAACGUCCUCCGUUCUACUAUUCAAUCGUAAACUCCCUUAAAACAGUUCCCUUUUUCAAAAAAUAAAUAAAAGUUCGACUCGAGUCAACUUGACGCCGUUCUCUUUAACCGCAAUAAUAAGCCCAUUUAACAUUACAAACUCGAGACAUUUGUAAUCUUUUUAGCCGUCAGUGAACAAACAGUAUACGGGAACAAGAAGUUGGCGGUGUAAAGUAGUAAGACUUCUACCGGAAUAAGGUUUUAAACGACCAAUUAAUAUGCUUACCUCUUUGACCCAACUGGUAUUCAAGUUUAACGUACCGUUUGUCCAAAUUGUUAGACGAUGUCUGAUCGUAGUUUCUAGUUUCUUCGAAGACGUUCCAGGUCCGUUCGUCGGGUAGUAGUCUCGUCCGAUGCUGUUAAACGACUACGAGCAAUUGGGUUUCCGGGGCUUGAUUGACUCUUCACCAAGGCGUUUAGCGUCGUACUGUUCCUCCUGUCCUACCUGUCCGCACGGCGCCUUGUUCUAGCCGUAGCCUUGUAUAACGUGUUCUAGACCAUACCUGCGCGCGGGAAGGUUCAAGGCUAAGGUCCAACGGCACCUUCUUGUUUGCAGAGCUACUCAAUAAGACGACGACCGCCAAGGUGCGACGUCAUGACUAGAUCACCAACACGGAGGGAAGGCAGCACGCCAAAUAGGUAGUCAAAUACUUGGUUUCGAGUUUUCGUCGGCGACUACGGGUUAAGAGGUACGGCAAGGUAAGGUUCUCACGGACGGACUACUCCUCACUAAGGCUCCAGUCUAGCGGGCCACCUACCUACGAACGAGCUAGCACCCGGAGUCCGCUACGCGAAGGACGCUCGCUUUCGCGUUGCGCGCACGACUCUCCGCACUAAGACCUGGUACCAAGUCGGCUUGGAUACCAGCUGCGGCAUGCAAGUUGUAGGACGAUGUACACCUAGGCGCAGUGCGUAACAAAUUAUACGUUUGUCGAGGGUAGUACGUAAAAAAUUAGUUAGUACGUGCCUAGGAAUACUUUUCACAGGUCUCUAGUUACCAUAGCUCGCAUCCAAGCCGUCUUGGUACCAAGGCAUAUUGUAAAAGCUCCUACCCCAGCUGAGUAGCCGGCCUCCUAAAAACACCAGCAGCGGCGGCGCACGCCAUGCCUCUGCCCGUCGCUUCAGUUUGUACGUACACGUCUCGACACAUACGUACGUGGAGUAAGCGAGCCUUUUCGUCACCUCUCCCUUUUCCC